AAAGCUUGAGAGUGCCAAAAAAGAGUGGGGGUCGAAAUGUGAGGCUUGGGUGAGACCUAAGGGUUAGUAAAUUGUGCAAUAGGCCAACUCACACUGAGCCCAACUUAAAAACCCAAAUUCAGUUUUGCGAUGCCAUCACUCAACGCCAGGUACCGUUGAAUGGUUAGCGCGAUUUCAACUUUCCUCUUUUUGGCUCGCCCUAAGCGUCAUUAGACCAAGUGUCACUCAAAUUUAACUCUCAAUUUUCAAUUUCAUGCAAUUUCUACUCACUCCACUCAAUCAUGCAACUAAAACAAAAUCAAAAUAUGCAAAAAUAAAUCAAUCAACUGGGUUGCCUCUUAGGUAGCGCUUGUUUAACGUCACGAGCCUGACCCAAACCUUUCUAACACCCAUCAGUAGGUGAAACCUUACCAUCACCCAUUAGUAAGUGUACCUUCCUGUAUCCUUCAGUGAAUACUUACUCAUCUAGCAUCCCUCAAUAGAUGCUACCCAAUAAACAAUGCUCAUAAGUAAUUAAAAAUUACAACAAAAAUAAUUAAAUAUCAAAAGAAUAAUGUUUUUAUAUCAGUGGGGUGCCACCCAACAAGCGCUCUUUUAACGUCAUUAGCAUGACCCAAUAAAGCUCAAAUUCCAUCUUCGGGGUUGAUGUUUCUCUUUUCUGGAUAUUCUUUUUUUUUUCUUCUUCUUUCUGAUGUAUUUCUACAGAAAUUUGAUAAAACCUAGCACCUGUUUCCAUGACUCAAUCAUAGGAACUUUAAUCUUCAAUUUCUUAAAGAUUUCCAAAAAGCACUUAAAUUCCUUCUCCUUCCUAUGAUACUUCUUUGGAUGAGGAAGGGAUUUUUCAUAUGAUUCCUUCUUCUUUUUUCCUCUCUUCCUCUUUUUCUUACUUUUCUUCUCCCUCAAUUUUCUCUUUUUCUUUUCUCUUACUUUCUUUAUUUUCACACACAUUAUCUUUUUUUUCUUUUCUCUAAACCACUUCUUUUUCUUUCUCCUCAUCUUUAAAUUUCUCACUCUACCUUUAUGUUUCUUUUUCCUCUAUCUUUUCCUCAUCUCUCUCUAUCUUUUCCUCAUCAACAACCUUGUCACUUCCAGUGAUAGUGGCUUGACAUCCUUUCGUAGGGUUAAUGUUGAGUCACUGGCAAGUGUACCAGAUCGUGCAAGUAAUAUAAUCGGUAAAGCCCGAUAUCGUUCUUCCCACGAGACUCGAAAGGUUUUCUCGUUCAUGUGAAUUAAAAUCGUAAGACUUGUAAAAAGAAAUAAUUGUGGUGAAUGCAAAGACAGAAAAUAAACAUGCAAAGUAUUUGAUUCAAUUGACGAAAAGAGACUAUGGAUGAAUGGAGUUGUUGGCGGUUUACAAUUUCAUCCUAUUCGCUCCCUCUUACCUACUCCUCUUACGCUUUGGUAUCUAAUUAUUAUGCAAACUUUCUUGGCCUACCCUUAACCCGAUCCCUCUGCGAAAAGAGCCUAUUACUAAUUACUGGCUUGCUAUACCUAGCCUCCCCUAGCAAUUAAUAAUGCAUUAAGAACAGAAGCAAAAACAAUUGAUCGUCCUACCCCCU
rnacentral:lncRNA from 1 species